rnacentral:rRNA from 1 species
UACGAAGGGGGCUAGCGUUGCUCGGAAUCACUGGGCGUAAAGGGCGCGUAGGCGGCCGAUCAAGUCAGGGGUGAAAGCCUGUGGCUCAACCACAGAAUGGCCUUUGAUACUGUUCGGCUCGAGACCGGAAGAGGUUGGUGGAACUGCGAGUGUAGAGGUGAAAUUCGUAGAUAUUCGCAAGAACACCGGUGGCGAAGGCGGCCAACUGGUCCGGUUCUGACGCUGAGGCGCGAAAGCGUGGGGAGCAAACAGG